UAAGGUCUGAUCUGCCCGCUGAAUAUUAAUUGAAUGGCCGCAGUAUUUUAACUGUGCAAAGGUAGCAUAAUCAUUAGUCUUUUAAUUGAAGGCUUGUAUGAAUGGUUGGACGAGACAUAUACUGUGUCAAAUUGAUAAAUUAUAGAAUUUUAUUUUUUAGUUAAAAAGCUAAAAUUUUAAUUAAAGACGAGAAGACCCUAUAGAUCUUUAUAAUUUAAUUUGUUUUAAAUAUUUAGCUGAAUUUAUUUAUAAUGAAUUAAUUUAUUUUGUUGGGGUGACAUUAAGAUUAAUAUAACUCUUGAUUUUUUAAUACAUUAAUUUUUGGAAAAGUUUAAUUGAUCCUUUAUUAUGGAUUAUAAGAUUAAGUUACCUUAGGGAUAACAGCAUAAUUUUUCUGGAGAGUUCUUAUCGAUAGAAAAGAUUGUGACCUCGAUGUUGGAUUAAGGUUAAAAUUGGGGGUAGAAUUUCUAUAUUUUAAGUCUGGUCGACUUUUAAAAUCUUACAUGAUCUGAGUUCAAACCGGCGUUAACCAGGUUGGGUUCUAUCUUUAUUAAAUUAAGGUAUCUUAGUACGAAAGGACCAGAUAUAUAAAUUAUUAAUUUUUUAUUUGAAUUAUAUUAAUAU
rnacentral:rRNA from 1 species